rnacentral:lncRNA from 1 species
UAAAAGUGGAUACGGUCAGCACCGGUGCCAAAAAUAGGAGCAAAAGCAGAAACAACACCUUCUAGUAUGGAGUAGAUGGAGUAACAGUAGGAGCCCUAUUGGCCCAAGAAGCGUCUUUAGAGGGGCACUCAUGCUACGUGAUCCCAAUCUGACCAUAACUAAAAUAUUUAUUCCUCCCUUUCCCACUCUGACUAUGAUGACUCUAACCAUAGAAUCUACAAGGCGGGUGAGGUAGGGCAAACUGGGCACCACUAGUCUAGAAAUUGGCACCCUAUACCUUGAACCCAACACUAAACUAAGACCGAUAAUUACUCACCAACUUUGGGUAAGGAGAGUGAACACUAUUUGAGUAGAACUCCCC